rnacentral:lncRNA from 1 species
CCCUAUCAGUCUCAUCAUCAACAUCAACUUUUGGCCGUGGUUUUCGUUUCCUAACCAAUGAACUUCCGAAAGGAACAAUACUUCCAUCUCUUUGAUAAAGAACAAGGGCACUCUCCCCUUGAAACUUGGUGUGGUAGGUGACACUUCCCUGUUGACCUUUAAUUUGGCUGCUUGGGUGUGGUAGGUGACACUUCCAUGUUGACCUUGAAUUUGGCUGCUUUCUCUGUUUAAAUCAAGAUGCUGCAAGUGUUCUGCAAUUUCAUCAAUUGGAGACAUGCCUCUCCAUGUUAAAGCUGGUGGGGG